GAUGAACGCUAGCUACCGGCUUAACACAUGCAAGUCGAGGGACCGGCGCACGGGUGAGUAACACGUAUCCAACCUGCCCUUUACUCGGGGAUAGCCUUUCGAAAGAAAGAUUAAUACCCGAUAUCAAGGAUGGGGAUGCGUUCCAUUAGGUUGUUGGUGAGGUAAAGGCUCACCAAUACUUCGAUGGCGAGGGGUAAUGAGAGGAAGGUCCCCCAAAUUGGAACUGAGCCACGGUGCAAACUCCUACGUGAGUCAGCAGUGAGGAAUAUUGGUCAAUGGGCGCUAGCCUGAACCAGCCAAGGAGCGUGAAGGAUGAAGGCUUAUGGGUCGUAAACUUCUUUUAUAUAAGAAUAUGUAUUAUAUGAAUAAGGAUUGGCUAACUCCGUGCCAGCCGCCGCGGUAAUAC
rnacentral:rRNA from 1 species